rnacentral:rRNA from 1 species
GACGAACGCUGGCGGCGUGCCUAACACAUGCAAGUCGAACGGGGUGAUUUCCUUCGGGGGAUCACUUAGUGGCGAACGGGUGAGUAACGCGUGAGGAACCUGCCUUCCAGUGGGGGACAACAGUUGGAAACGACUGCUAAUACCGCAUAACAUACACGGACCGCAUGAUCUGUGUAUCAAAGCUUUAUGUGCUGAAAGAUGGCCUCGCGUCUGAUUAGCUAGUUGGUGAGGUAACGGCCCACCAAGGCGACGAUCAGUAGCCGGUCUGAGAGGGUGAUCGGCCACAUUGGAACUGAGACACGGUCCAAACUCCUACGGGAGGCAGCAGUGGGGAAUAUUGCACAAUGGGCGAAAGCCUGAUGCAGCAACGCCGCGUGAAGGAUGAAGGUUUUCGGAUCGUAAACUCCUGUCCUCAGGGAAGAGUAGAAGACGGUACCUGAGGAGGAAGCCCCGGCUAACUACGUG